GUUAUACUCGAUUAGGGCUCAAGUUGGGUUCGAUUUGGGGGUUUUCCAUUCUGCUAAAAAGGGGAUUGAGUUGGGUUUGAGUUGAAGGAGGAGGAAAGGGGUUUCACCGGUUUAGGGAUUGUUGCUCAAUUCCUUUCGAUUGCAUCAAGAGCAACCUCGUUGGCUCUCACCUAGUCGAAUCUGCUCACUAAUCGACGAAUAAGAAGAUGCAAGAGAAGAUGGAAAGGAGAAUCUGGGCCAACUUAUGGAAUUGUGUUUCCGAUGAGGAUGGUUUCGAAAGCCAAAUGCUUUCGCGGUAUGAGUCCUUUGUUUUUUUUU